UACGUAGGGGGCAAGCGUUGUCCGGAAUCAUUGGGCGUAAAGCGCGCGUAGGCGGCCCGGUAAGUCCGCUGUGAAAGUCAAAGGCUCAACCUUUGAAUGUCAGCGGAUACUGCCGGGCUAGAGUCCGGAAGAGGCGAGUGGAAUUCCUGGUGUAGCGGUGGAAUGCGCAGAUAUCAGGAGGAACACCAACGGCGAAGGCGGCUUCCUGGCCUGUUCUUGACGCUGAGGCGCGAAAGCUAGGGGAGCAAACGGG
rnacentral:rRNA from 1 species